GGCCAUAGCUCAGUGGCGCAGCACCUGCCUUGCAUGCAGAGGAGCCUGGGUUCAAUCCCAGGCAUUACCA